AGCACUGAGCUUAAUAUAAAUUGAAUUACACUGACUUAUUUAGGUUCAUAAAUAUAUUAUUUAAAUCUAAUAAAUCAAGUACCACUAAUAAACUAGAAUUUUUAGUUAAUAAAAUAAUACCAUUUUAAAAAUGUGUUUAAAAAGUUAUUAAAAAUCUUAAAUUGAUAUUUAAAGUUAAAAUACUUAACCACGUUAUUUAGGUAUUUAAUUUACGCUCGAGUGUUUUCAACGAUUAUUUUUCGGGACACCAGUGCUGUAACUGCUCAAAACAUGGACAAAACAGAAGACGGAGUACAAAAGAGGGGAAUCAAUGAGAUUCUGCUCGAGGAGCUGGGCCAAUUCGGGAAGUACCAGCUUCGGGUGCUUCUGCUGUCAGCUAUAGCUGUCAUCUGGGCUGGCAUCGCCGCUAGUGACUUCGUGUUUACCACUGCAAGGAUUAACACUAGAUGCCUGAUCCCUGAAUGCGAGACAUCGCCUCUGGACUUCUCACCCGAUUGGUUAGCCAACGCUAUACCUUCGACCGAUGGGUCCUUCGACCAGUGUUCACGUUUCAACGCCUCCACUCCCAUGCUGCGAACCUGCCCCGCUGAUAUCUUCGAUAGAAACAACGUGGUGCCGUGUGAAGAGUAUGUUUAUGAGCAUCAGAACACUGUUGUCUAUGAUUUCGGGCUGGCAUGUCAGGAAUGGCUACGCUCGUUGAUUGGCUCCGUGCACAUCUUCGGAACACUCACCGCCAUGCCCAUUGCAGGAUUCGUGUCAGACCGCUGGGGGCGGAGCCCGGCGCUGGCCGCCGCCGCGUUCAUCCGCGGCUGCUUCGGACUGGUUCGCUCCUGGACUAACACUUACGUCGGCUUCACUAUCCUCCACUUCUUGCAGGCCAACUUCGGCUUUGGGGCGUUCUCUUGCGCUUACAUUUUAAUUAUGGAAAUGAUGGGUCCAAAGUACCGCGUGGCAUGCGGCGCCACUCUCGACAUGUUCUUCGCAAUCGGCAAGAUAAGCGCUGGCCUCAUCGCGUGGGGCGUCCCGCAUUGGCGCUGGUUCCACCGAGCCAUAUACGGCCCUAUGCUGCUGGCUGUCGUCUACUUCUGGCUCAUGCCUGAAUCCAUCCGAUGGUACAUGAGUAAAGGGAGGUUCGAAGAAUCCGAAGCUGUCCUUGAGAAAGCUGUACGUGUUAAUGGGAAGACGUUGUCUGAUCAGACUAGGAUGGAAUUAAGGAAAUCCGCUGAAGAAGAAAAGAAAAACAAUGAAUUCGCCGCAGCACAGAAGACAUCCGAACCGUGGCUAGUCGUCCAAGUGUUCCAACACAAGUCUAUCCUCCUUCGCUGCAUGGUAUCUCCCGUCUGGUGGAUAACCACGACCUUCAUCUACUACGGGUUGGCUGUGAACGCCGUGAUCAUGUCCGGGAACAUGUAUCUGAACUACGUGGCGGUGGCAGCGAUGGAGAUCCCUGGGUACUGGACGGCGGUGUUGGUGCUGAACAGGAUUGGGAGGAAACCGGUGUUGGUCGGCGGAUUCUGGCUCUGCGCGGCGUGCCAGCUCGCUUACAUCUUCAUUCCAGAUGGUUACGACGGGUUCUCACUAGCGGUGUACCUGAUCGGCAACUACUGCAUCGCGAUAGUGAUGACAACAUUGUACGUCUACACUUCAGAGCUGUUCCCGACUAAGCAUCGGCACAGUCUGUUCGCGUUUGCGUUCAUGCUCGGCAGGCUGGGGUCUAUCCUGUCGCCACUUACUCCGGCCAUGGGAGCAUCAAGUGGCUGGGCGGAGCUGCCGUUUGCUCUGUUCGGGGGCUUCGCUCUGCUGUCCGGGGGGCUCGCCUUCAUCACGCCCGAGACCCUGGGCUCCAAGCUACCUGACACCAUGGAGGAGGCCGCCAACAUUGGGAAGAAAUGAUCUUAAUUAAUGGUCUUAAUUGUUUACUGGUUUAAAAUAUUUACGAUAUUACAAAGUAUAUUAUGUGUGUAACUUAAGGCCACUGGCACGUUCCAGGCUUCCAGGGCUAGCCAACUUACCCAGAAAUAAACUAACGAAGGCUAACCCUGAAACAUGCAAGUGGUCACCCUUUACUGUAUACGAAGCCAUAUAUGGCCAAUGAGAUAUUGAACUGUAUAUGUACCUAUAAUUAGAGAACAAUUAAAGUUUAUGUCAACAAAUAUUUUUAAUAAAUGCGAAGGGCUAAGAUUGCUAAUAAAAUUUAACUUAAUCGUAUACCUACACCUAAUAAAGUUUUUCAAGCCAUCGUUUCGAGGACGGCGUCGUCCUUGAGAGAAAAAAAUAGAUAAACAAAAGUAAAAAAUAAUUCAUAAAAUAAUUUGACAUCAUGUUCCUUAUUAUCCUCUAUUUUUUUUCUAAUUUAACCUGUAAAAGACGUGUUAUUACCGUAUAUCUACUUACUACUAUAUAUGUAAAUUGGUAAGCUAGUGCAAAAGCAAAUUCACUCCAACGAUGUGUCACUUUAAAAGCGUACAAGUGUAGCGAAACAAGAUAACGGAUCGGAAGAAAGCUGUGUAAACUCGCAU
rnacentral:misc_RNA from 1 species